UUUAGCUGUCUGUGAGAGACAGGUCUCUUGCCCCUUUGACCACAUAAACUUCAAGAAAAAAAAAUGCAUUAAAGGUCAAGAUAUUGUAAUCCUGUCUCUCUGCCUGUGGCUGCCAUCAAAGCCUGUAGCCAGCUGGCAGGCACCCUUGAAGGUCUGACGCAUGAACUCUAUCUGCAGGUAAAUGCUAACAAUAUCACUGUCUUACUGGGAGCAGCUGACAAUCGUAAAGUCGGAGGAAAUCAUUAAAAUGAGUUAAGUGACCACAAAAAUAACACUGGAAGAAAUUUAUUUGAGGAGAUCCGAUACACAUCUUUAUUAAGCAGGAGGAAGAGCAUUAAUGAUGUGUGACUGACAAACAAGGUACAGACAGAAUCGAUCAUUCACUGAGGUGGAAUCCUGAGCAGCGUCUUUCAUUGUAAAUCAUAUUAAGAACAUGCUUAGCAAGUGAGCGUGCUUGUAUAAGCAUGAGGACCUGAGCAUGGGUUCUCCACAUCCUUGUAAAAAGCUGGGCAUGAGCAAAUAUAGCCCUAGCAGUGUGGGGGUGGGGGGUGGGAGGAGCCAUCCCUGGCUUGCCGCCUGCUAGCCUAGCUCCAUCCCUUACCAGAAUAAAGUGGAGAGCAAUAGAAAAGCGUGCCUGACUUUCUCUUCUGGCUCCUGCACACACGUGUGCACACACCACACACAUACACCAUAUACACA